GUUUACGACCAUACCACCCUGAGAACGCCCGAUCUUGUCUGAUCUCGGAAGCUAAGCAGGGUCGGGCCUGGUUAGUACUUGGAUGGGAGACCGCCUGGGAAUACCAGGUGCUGUAAGCU
rnacentral:rRNA from 1 species